rnacentral:rRNA from 1 species
UACCAGCACCCCGAGUGGUCGGGACGUUUAUUGGGCCUAAAGCAUCCGUAGCCGGUUCUACAAGUCUUCCGUUAAAUCCAGCUGCUUAACAGAUGGGCUGCGGAAGAUACUAUAGAGCUAGGAGGCGGGAGAGGCAAGCGGUACUCGAUGGGUAGGGGUAAAAUCCGUUGAUCCAUUGAAGACCACCAGUGGCGAAGGCGGCUUGCCAGAACGCGCUCGACGGUGAGGGAUGAAAGCUGGGGGAGCAAACCGGG